CACCGCGUCCCGCCUUGGCGACAGGCCCUGGGGGACUCGCUCCGGGCCGGGCCCCGACGCUCCAUCGCCGCUGCACCCCAGGGCUGAGAACAGCACCCGACACACAGAGGACACCCCAGAAAUGUCGGCGGAGCAGAGGAAUUAAUACAGGUUACAUCUGAUCUCUUCAGCACAGCCUUACUUUUCAAUGACCUGCCCUGGGACCUGGCCACACCCCCCUGUUCUGGAUGGUUCUCUCAUGGUGACAAGGCUGCUAUGGUCUCCCAGCCUGGGCGACCGCAGAGGGAAGAACAUUGGAGAGCGCCGUCGAGGCCUGGGCCGUACCUGCUCCUCACGCAUGGCCUGCAGCUUCUUGGCUUUGCUCUGCCGGUAGUACUCCAUGAUCAUCAUGGCCGCGUAGAUCUUCCCCACCGUCAGCGUAGAUGUUCCUGUUUCUAGUGCAAAAACAGAAGACACCUGCUGUUAUGGACGGAACUGUGUCCCUCCAGAAUUCCCGUUGAAGCCCUCAGCUGCGAUGUGAAUGUAUUUGGAGCUGGGGGCCUUCAGGAGGUGGCUGAAGUUACAGGAGGGCAGACGGGGGUCUUUAAUCCAGCACCACUAGUUCCUGAGAGGCAGUGACACCAGGGCUGUGUGUGCAGCAAGAAGGCGGUGGGCCGCCUGCAAGCCCUGGAGAGAGACCUCAGGGAAAACCAAUCCUGGCAGCACCUUGAACCUGGACUUUGAGCUUCCAGAAAUGUGAGAAAAUAAA